CUGGCUCAGGAUGAACGCUAGCGGCAGGCUUAACACAUGCAAGUCGAGGGGCAGCGGGAUGUAGCAAUACAUUGCCGGCGACCGGCGGAUGGGUGCGUAACGCGUAUGCAACCUACCUAUACAGGGGAAUAACCUUUCGAAAGGGAGACUAACACCCCAUAGUAUUGAUUUAAGGCAUCUUAGAUUAAUUAAAUAUUUAUAGGUAUAAGAUGGGCAUGCGUAUGAUUAGCUAGUUGGUAAGGUAACGGCUUACCAAGGCGACGAUCAUUAGGGGUUCUGAGAGGAAGGUCCCCCACACUGGUACUGAGACACGGACCAGACUCCUACGGGAGGCAGCAGUGAGGAAUAUUGGUCAAUGGGCGCAAGCCUGAACCAGCCAUGCCGCGUGCAAGGAAGACGGCCUUAUGGGUUGUAAACUGCUUUUACAUAAGACUAACCGUAUAUUUGCGAAUAUACCUGAAUGUAUUAUGAGAAUAAGGAUCGGCUAACUCCGUGCCAGCCGCAGC
rnacentral:rRNA from 1 species